rnacentral:rRNA from 1 species
CGAGGAAUAUUGGUCAAUGGGCGAGAGCCUGAACCAGCCAAGUAGCGUGCAGGAUGACGGCCCUAUGGGUUGUAAACUGCUUUUAUAUGGGAAUAAAGUGAGGGACGUGUCCCUUAUUGCAUGUACCAUACGAAUAAGGACCGGCUAAUUCCGUGCCAGCAGCCGCGGUAAUACGGAAGGUCCAGGCGUUAUCCGGAUUUAUUGGGUUUAAAGGGAGCGUAGGCUGUUUGUUAAGCGUGUUGUGAAAUGUAAGAGCUCAACUUUUAGAUUGCAGCGCGAACUGGCAGACUUGAGUGCGCACAACGUAGGCGGAAUUCAUGGUGUAGCGGUGAAAUGCUUAGAUAUCAUGACGAACUCCGAUUGCGAAGGCAGCUUACGGGAGCGCAACUGACGCUAAAGCUCGAAGGUGCGGGUAUCGAACAGG